UUAUUGGAGAGUUUGAUCCUGGCUCAGGACGAACGCUGGCGGCGUGCCUAAUACAUGCAAGUCGAGCGGACUUGAGGGAGCUUGCUCCCGAU
rnacentral:ncRNA from 1 species